GCAUGCAGGCCUAUGGGGUUCACGCCUUGUGGGUCUGUGGCAGUUUGUCUUUGCGCCGAGUCCUACUAGCCGGUGACAUCAUCUUGUUGACGAAAGACAAGCUGGAGACCUUUGGCUUUGACCGAGCAUGUUUGGGAGCCCACCAAGUUCUCUUGAUUACCCUUAAUUUGUGGAUCUGGUUGGGUUACUGUGUGCUGAAUUAUUGGUGUAUUUUUUUAAAACUAGAGUGGAAGGCUACUUCAUCUUCAAUAAAAACUCCUUCUCUUCAUUCUCUUUCUUCAAGCCAGACUUAUUGUUGAGAAAUCUGACGACCAAAAGCGACCUUCUCUGACAACUCUUUGGCUAGUGUAGAGAUCCGUAGCGAGCUGUAGUUCGUGGGGCUUGGUGAACCCAACUCUGUAGCUCGGAGCCAGCUAGGAGGAGCAAGUCCUAGCCAUGUGCAUAUGUUUUUCUAUAGUAGCGCUACCUGACAUGCGUGUCCGUUCCGACUGCGGUUGAAGAUCUAGCUCCGGCUGUUGAUAUUCUGUUCUGUUCCGACUUCACAGUCGAUGAUCCAGCUUCGUGAUGCUGAUUUCUGCUAUCAGUCAGGGAGAUGUACAUGUCUGUUUUCUGCGUGUUUUCUGUAUUUUCUGAUUAUUUUUC